GAUCUGAUUGGUUGAUUGAUUGAUCAUCGGCAACAAUUAACAACCGUUAGAAACUCCAAAUCUGAAGAAUCAAAGAAACAAACCAAAUCCGAUCAUCAUACAUUCAUACCUGGAGGAAGGUCGUGGAGGAGUCUGGUCCUGCAAGAACAGCAAAUGGAGGAACAUCUGUCGAUGGAAGAUGAGAGGUAUGGAGUUCAUCUUCGGAAUCAGAUAGAGAGGAGUUAUAUUAAUCAAACCGGAGAAGAAGGUAAAACAGAUCAGAAAUCAUUUCCCUUUUCUUUCUUUUUUGUGGGAAUCUUCUGCUUUGGCAGAUAAGAACACUCUUUUUUGAAUGGUAAGCUCGAUCAGGCAGACAGACAAAAACAGACUGCCAGAUUUGAAUUUCCAAAGAAAAAAGUGGAUUGAUCUCCAAAACCACUUUUGCUUUUUUGUUUUUUUGGAAUUCAAAGAAAACAAUCUCUGUCAAAUCUCUGUAAAAAACUAAAAAACAAUCAUUGCAACAAAUUAAGAACAGAAUCAAUCCAUUUCUUCCAUAUUGACUGUUGUGUUGCUUAUGUACUACAGUACAGCUCAGGAUGGGGGAGGGAGCAAAGACCAGCCAUUCCAUUUCCAACAGGUAUGGUAGAGCAAUUUGAUUUAUGAUUUUGCUUUAGUUUAAAUUGUCAGAAAUCAAUCUAAGAGCCACCCAUCAUUAAAGUUUUUCAGAAUAUUCUUUGCCUCUUUAACAAAACUUCAUUGACAGAUUAACUCAACUAAUCAUAGUAAUUAUUAAAGUUUCUAAAAAUUCAUAGUUCAGAGAAUUUUUCGCUUUUUUGAACUAUGAUUAGAAAUUUAGCAUCAACCUGACUGAUGAUACCCUCGGCCACUGAAGUGAUCCAAGAAUAAAAUCAGUAGACCCAACCUAAUACAACAGUCUAGGAACGUCCCUAAAUCAGUAGAUUUCUUCUUUAAAUUAGAAUGAUCUCUUCUUUAAAUUUCUAGAUUUCUCAAAAUUCACAAACUCAUAUUUCACUAUGUGAAAAUAAUGGUUAUAUGAUCAAAUCAUCUAUCAAAUAUUCAAGUCAGUUUGAAUUUUGGACAAAAAAUGAGGAUUUUCAACAAAUAUCAUGUUUUACAAAGGUAUGAGAAAAUAUAUAUCAUAUUAUAUAUACCUUGUAUUCUUUGAAUAAUGGUACAACCACUGAAUAAUAAACAUGUCUGCAAACAAACCUAGAAUUUCUGCUAGAAGUGAAACUCAUUUAUAGAAUAUAAGUACUAAUUUAAUCACUAGAGCACCAAAGGUGGAGGGAGACUGGAGAUACUGUAAUCAAUCACCUCUACUAUGUUAUGGGUGGGGUAAACAAUCUAAUUGGCUGUACCUUUUUUUUCUGGAAUCUCACUGAGUCUUUGGUCUAGAUGGUGUCACUUUUGCAAGGGUCGACCGUUCAGAUUGUGAGAAGAGAAUGAGCAUGUACAUAAUAGCAGUGACUAAUAAUAAACCGCCGCCCGAUAAUGAAAUGCCUUUCCAUGUCGACAGGAGGGAUGACCAUUUAAAAAAAUGGUACAUAGAAAACGCAAGGAGAGCGGACCAAAACACAACGACCUGUUUGUUCGAAAGAAAUACAAUUAGUUCGAAAAUAUCAAAUAUAGAAUAUUUCAGGCAGAGCACAGAUUGGAAGAGUGCAACUGUGCAAGUGUUCGUGACUUCUUUUAGUGCUAUGUUUUACAAUUUAAAUUGAAAUUUUAUUAUUGAACUUGAACCUUCUUGCUAUUAUUAAAUUUAUCCAUUAUUUGAUAAUUGAUUCCUUUCAGAAAAUGAUAGUACUGAUUCAUCAUAUCAUAAUAAUUAAUUACCAGCAAAGACUUUAUUGGUCGGCCAAUAAGAUGGUGUUUUUCUGCAAAACUACCAUCAGCAAAAUGUUUGUCCAGUAAAGAAUCCUGGCAAUACAAAAGAACAAUGAUGGUAAGACUAUUUAGAUUGAUAGACUUCAUUAUAAUUAUUUAUCUGUAACUAUCAAUGAAAAUUAGCGUUAGUUAAUCACAUUGUAAUAAUCUAGAAUGCAAACUAGAAGUCAUCUUUUCUUUAACUGUUCUUAUUCCAGAUCUCUCUUAAUUCCGUUAGCGGAACAUUUGGAUUUCGUUUUCUGGAAAAUAAUGAAUAUUCCAGUUUCCACCCAAUCCAGUCCAGAUAUUGGGGGAUCUGACGGAGGCAGCACAAAAGAUUACGCACCACUCUCCCCCUUGGGGGCUAAUAUGGAAUGCUAUUGGGUGCUUGUCGUGGCAUAUAUGGACAGAAAGAAAUAAAAGGUAUAGACAAUACAUUAGUAGGCCUCCUGAGGUAGUCCUUAAGGAGGUCAUUAAAGACAUCAGUUUCUCCUUUGAUUCAGUGUAUUACAAGAAGAGUUGUUGUCACCCUUUGGAGACAUUUAUGAUGGAAGGAAGUAUGGGAGACCAACCUCCUGAGGCAGCGUAUCUAGUUACUAUAUAAAUAGACUACAUAGCUAAUGGGAGAGAAUCAAUGAGCUUUUUGCUCAUUUCUUUUUUACUUCUGUUUUUAUUUCUAUACUCUAUUUUUUGUAAACUUAGCAUUAGCCUUAUUCUAAUGAAAUUUAAUUGCUUCAAAAAAAAAAUCUAGAAUGUUCCAUUGGGUAAAAGAUUACAUGAUCAGUUAGAUCAGUAAUGGUACCUUCAAGUGUAUAAAUAAAUUAUUAAGUUCUAUAUGAGAAGCAUCAAGUAUCACAUCCCCCCGACCCCCAUUAAUAGUAACAGACUUCAAUUAUGAUAACCAUUUCAUUUAUUUAGCAUAAUUAAAAAAAAUAUGAAGCUGAAAAUAGUCUAAAAAUUUAAG
rnacentral:lncRNA from 1 species